GAUGAACGCUGGCGGCGUGCCUAAUACAUGCAAGUCGAGCGAACGGACGAGAAGCUUGCUUCUCUGAUGUUAGCGGCGGACGGGUGAGUAACACGUGGAUAACCUACCUAUAAGACUGGGAUAACUUCGGGAAACCGGAGCUAAUAACGGAUGAUAUUUUGAACCGCAUGGUUCAAAAGUGAAUACGGCCUUGCUGGAACGUAUAAGCCGAUCCGGGCUGCAUUAGCUAGUUGGGAAGGUAACGGCUUACCAAGGCAACGAUGCAUAGCCGACCUGAGAGGGUGAUCGGCCACACUGGAACUGAGACACGGUCCAGACUCCUACGGGAGGCAGCAGUAGGGAAUCUUCCGCAAUGGGCGAAAGCCUGACGGAGCAACGCCGCGUGAGUGAUGAAGGUCUUCGGAUCGUAAAACUCUGUUAUUAGGGAAGAACAUAUGUGUAAGUAACUGUGCACAUCUUGACGGUACCUAAUCAGAAAGCCACGGCUAACUACGUG
rnacentral:rRNA from 1 species